GACGAACCGUGCGAACGUUGUUCGGAAUCACUGGGCUUAAAGGGCGCGUAGGCGGGCGGUCAAGUCAGAGGUGAAAUCCCACGGCUCAACCGUGGAAGUGCCCCUGAUACUGAUCGUCUCGAGGGAGGUAGGGGCGUGCGGAACUUCCGGUGGAGCGGUGAAAUGCGUAGAUAUCGGAAGGAACACCGAUGGCGAAAGCAGCGCGCUGGACCUUUACUGACGCUGAGACGCGAAAGCGUGGGGAGCGAACAGG
rnacentral:rRNA from 1 species